rnacentral:misc_RNA from 1 species
UAGCCGUAUCGGAAGGUGCGGCUGGAUCACCUCCUUUCUAAGGAAAUCGAGUAGAAGUUAUUCACUGUUGAGUUAUCAAUGAGCACUGCCGGAAGAGCAGGCAUGGCAGACGCAGAUUUAUCUGCAGGAUG